rnacentral:rRNA from 1 species
GACGAAGGUGGCGAGCGUUACUCGGAAUUACUAGGCGUAAAGCGUGGGCAGGCGGUUUGGUAAGUCUGUUGUGAAAGCUCCCGGCUUAACCGGGAGAGGCCAAUGGAUACUACCAGACUUGAAUACGGGAGAGGUCACUGGAAUUCCUGGUGUAGCGGUGAAAUGCGUAGAAAUCAGGAGGAACACCGAUGGCGAAAGCAGGUGACUGGACCGUUAUUGACGCUCAUCCACGAAAGCUAGGGGAGCAAACAGG